GGUACCCUUAGUUCAGUUGGUUAGAGCGUCGGAUUGUGGUUCCGAAGGUCGUGGGUUCGAGUCCCACCGGGUACCC
rnacentral:tRNA from 1 species